UACGGAGGGGGCAAGCGUUGUCCGGAUUUAUUGGGCGUAAAGCGCGUGUAGGCGGCCAGAUAGGUCUGCUGUGAAAACUCGAGGCUCAACCUCGAGCUGUCGGCGGAAACCAUCUGGCUAGAGCCGGAAGAGGAGAGUGGAAAUUCCUGGUGUAGCGGUGAAAAUGCGCAGAUAUAGGAAGAACACCUAUGCGAAGGGCAGCUCCUCUGGGG
rnacentral:rRNA from 1 species